UACGUAGGGUGCAAGCGUUAAUCGGAAUUACUGGGCGUAAAGCGUGCGCAGGCGGUUUUGUAAGUCUGACGUGAAAGCCCCGGGCUCAACCUGGGAAUUGCAUUGGAGACUGCAAGGCUUGAAUCUGGCAGAGGGGGGUAGAAUUCCACGUGUAGCAGUGAAAUGCGUAGAGAUGUGGAGGAACACCGAUGGCGAAGGCAGCCCCCUGGGUCAAGAUUGACGCUCAUGCACGAAAGCGUGGGGAGCAAACAGG
rnacentral:rRNA from 1 species